rnacentral:rRNA from 1 species
CCCUUAGAUGUUCUGGGCCGCACGCGCGCUACACUGAUGCAUUCAACGAGUUUCUUCCUGGUCCGAGAGGAAUGGGUAACCUUUUGAAAGUGCAUCGUGAUAGGGAUAGACUAUUGCAAUUAUUGGUCUUCAACGAGGAAUUCCUAGUAGACGUAGUUCAUCAGACUGCAUCGAUUACGUCCCUGCCCUUUGUACACACCGCCCGUCGCUCCUACCGAUUGAAUGCUCAGGUGAGCCAUUCGGACUUUCAUCAUGCUGGUUUCCAGUUCUGAUGAAGGAAAGUCUUGCGAACCUUAUCAUUUAGAGGAAGGAGAAGUCGUAACA